UUGGCAGACUGCCCUUUUCUUGUGAUUAUACUUCAUUGAUACAUUUGGUUAAAUGUGAUAUGAUUAGAUAAAUUUGAUAAUUCAAAUUUAUCUUACACCAUCAUGAUGAAAUUAUGUAGUUAAUUAGGGGUACCAUCAUGAUGAAAUUAUGUAGUUAAUCAGGGGUACCAUCAUGAUGAAAUUAUGAUGUAACCAAACCACACAGUACAGGAGUUCAUGAGAAUUGAGAUGCCCUGCUGGUGUGAUCCUGCCUCCUGCCUGUAGUUCACUAAGCUGGGAACAACAGAGUGGAGAUACAGAGACAAUCCUUAUUUCCCCCAUAUGUGCUCCUGAGUUCUGGCAGCAGAUACACACUCAGGUUACACAGAGCGGAAGUGGUAGUGAAUGCACCAUUCCUACUCUACUGAAACUAGCAGCAGACACACACUCAGGUUACACAGAGCGGAAGUGGUAGUGAACGCACCAUUCCUACUCUACUGAAAUGAGCAGCAGAGACACACUCAGGUUCCACAGAGCUGUGUGGUAGUGAACGCACCACUGCUACUCUGCUGAACAGUAGUGCUGGUGGCCACGCCUCCUCAUUUGGACUAGACCUCUAACGGCUGUGUGGUGUAACACCCUCAGGGUUACGUGUCUGCUGAAGAGUAGUGCUGUGUGGUGUAACACCCUCAGGAUUGCGUGUCUGCUGAAGGGUAUUGCUGUGUGGUGUAACACCCUCAGGGUUACGUGUCUGCUGAAAGGUAUUGCUGUGUGGUGUAACACCCUCAGGGUUACGUGUCUGCUGAAGAGUAGUGCUGUGUGGUGUAAACACCCUGAGUGUUACGUGUCUGCUAAUGAGUAAAGAUCUGGGAGUUUGAGGACUGAAGGCACGGACACAACCAGGCUUUGUUGCUUUGGGAACUUUUUUAUUUCUUUAUUUGCAUUAUAUAUUUAGACUGAUAUCAUUCAGAGAUGACUCAAUGCUAAAAUGUCAUUUAUAAAUGGAUUGCUAUUUUGUUCGUUAUAUACAUAUUGGUAUAUUGUCUGAUUGGUAUAUUGGUACUUCAUUGAUUAUUGAUUGAGGUUUCUAAUGUUUAAUGUGCAAUAAUACAUUUGUAUUGUAUACUGUAUUUUCCUGAGUUACUGCAGCUUUCAAACAGGACUUUGUUGUUUGUAUUUGUUAUUGUCUGUAUUUGUUGUUUAUGUAUUUAAAUAGUUGUUUCUGGUCUCUCUCUGCCAGCACACACACACACACACACACACACACACACACACACACACAUCUUUCUCUAACCAUGUAUAGUGUUGGUCCUGGGUGUUGUGUUGCUCUAGGCAAACACACAUUGCGUACAUGAGAAAGAGCACCUUCAUCUUUUCAUAGUUUAGUUUAAGUUCAAGGCCCUUGGCAGACACUUUUGUCCAAAGUGACUUACAUCAGGGCAAACUGGUACAUACAGGAAGGACAGAACAUGAUGUUAGCCAUAAGUAAGACAUUAAGAUGAUUCUGAUAGUGUGUGUGUGUUUGGAUGUGAUCUGUCAUGUGACUUGAGCUGGCUACAUUAAUUAUGUGACUACUUACCUGUCCAUACUAGUCAUGUGACUACUUGUUAACAUCUAAGAAACAGCCCAAAGGCAGCCAUUUUGACUUGCCCUUAUGAAGGUUCUUAUGACUGAAACACAUAAGCAUGUUUUUUUAUUGUUACUUUGACUAAACAGCCAAGAGAUAUUAAAGGCGUUCUGAACGUA